UGGGGAAUUUUGGACAAUGGGCGAAAGCCUGAUCCAGCAAUGCCGCGUGUGUGAAGAAGGCCUUCGGGUUGUAAAGCACUUUUGUCCGGAAAGAAAUCCUUGGCUCUAAUACAGUCGGGGGAUGACGGUACCGGAAGAAUAAGCACCGGCUAACUACGUGCCAGCAGCCGCGGUAAUACGUAGGGUGCAAGCGUUAAUCGGAAUUACUGGGCGUAAAGCGUGCGCAGGCGGUUUGCUAAGACCGAUGUGAAAUCCCCGGGCUCAACCUGGGAACUGCAUUGGUGACUGGCAGGCUAGAGUAUGGCAGAGGGGGGUAGAAUUCCACGUGUAGCAGUGAAAUGCGUAGAGAUGUGGAGGAAUACCGAUGGCGAAGGCAGCCCCCUGGGCCAAUACUGACGCUCAUGCACGAAAAGCGUGGGGAGCAAAACAGGAUUAGAUAACCCUGGUAGUCCACGCCCUAAAACGAUGUCAAACUAGUUGUUGGGGAUUCAUUUCCUUAGUAACGUAGCUAACGCGUGAAGUUGACCGCCUGGGGAGU
rnacentral:rRNA from 1 species